AGAGAAGGGCAGAGAGAGAGAUGGGAAUGUAUGGUUCUAGGGUUAUCUUUUCGCACUUCCUCAUACUGUCAGUGGUUGCCAUUGUCAUCAAUAUCAAUCAAGCAAGAUUUGCCCAUGGGUUGUUGGAGGAUAACAACAGCUCUGAAAUGGUGCCUUUGAUCAAGACUACAGGAAUGGUUGGUGGGUCUCUGGUGCUGAAUGAGACUCGCCGGCGGUUGGGGACUUUUCAGAUAUGCGCUCUGUGUACUUGCUGUGGUGGGCCGAAGGGAUUUUGCCUGCCUUCUCCUUGCUGCUAUGCCAUCAACUGCAACAUCCCAAACAGGCCCUUUGGUUUCUGCUCCUUCACGCCCAAGACCUGUAAUUGCUUUGGAUGCCAUCUCUAAUCUCUCUUCUUCAUCUUCUUCAAAUCUCUACUAUUUUAUCUUUAAUCUCUCUUCUUCAAA